rnacentral:rRNA from 1 species
UACGGAGGGGGUUAGCGUUGUUCGGAAUUACUGGGCGUAAAGCGCGCGUAGGCGGAUUAGAAAGUUGGGGGUGAAAUCCCGGGGCUCAACCUCGGAACUGCCUCCAAAACUGCUAGUCUAGAGUUCGAGAGAGGUGAGUGGAAUUCCGAGUGUAGAGGUGAAAUUCGUAGAUAUUCGGAGGAACACCAGUGGCGAAGGCGGCUCACUGGCUCGAUACUGACGCUGAGGUGCGAAAGUGUGGGGAGCAAACAUG